rnacentral:ncRNA from 1 species
CUGUUCGUAGAAUUGAGAGAUGGUUGGCAUCUCCCCCGACAGGGACGGGAACAGCCUUCGAGCUUUACUGUUAUUAGAAACUGUACUAUAAGUCCUUCACUUUUU